rnacentral:snRNA from 1 species
GGAUGUGAGCCCUAUCUAGCUGCAACAUCUGUCACCCUAUCGAUCACCUGAGUUGCCUCAGCUGAUCUGGCUGGCUAAGCAGGUGUCCCCUUCCUCCUUCACUCAACAUGUGCAUCUCUCCCAAAGCUGCAUGCUCAGUCAAAGAGGACAGCCACCCUCCAUAGAGGAGAACCAUUUCCUCUGUCAAGAGUAUACGAGUAGAUGUGCUCCCCUGCUAGAACCUCCAAACAAGCUCUCAAGAGGAGGAAAUAUUUAUUGAGAGAUAGCUCCCAAGAGGCAGGA